rnacentral:rRNA from 1 species
UGCAGUCGUACGCUUCUUUUUCCACCGGAGCUUGCUCCACCGGAAAAAGAGGAGUGGCGAACGGGUGAGUAACACGUGGGUAACCUGCCCAUCAGAAGGGGAUAACACUUGGAAACAGGUGCUAAUACCGUAUAACAAUCGAAACCGCAUGGUUUUGAUUUGAAAGGCGCUUUCGGGUGUCGCUGAUGGAUGGACCCGCGGUGCAUUAGCUAGUUGGUGAGGUAACGGCUCACCAAGGCCACGAUGCAUAGCCGACCUGAGAGGGUGAUCGGCCACAUUGGGACUGAGACACGGCCCAAACUCCUACGGGAGGCAGCAGUAGGGAAUCUUCGGCAAUGGACGAAAGUCUGACCGAGCAACGCCGCGUGAGUGAAGAAGGUUUUCGGAUCGUAAAACUCUGUUGUUAGAGAAGAACAAGGAUGAGAGUAACUGUUCAUCCCUUGACGGUAUCUAACCAGAAAGCCACGGCUAACUACGUGCCAGCAGCCGCGGUAAUACGUAGGUGGCAAGCGUUGUCCGGAUUUAUUGGGCGUAAAGCGAGCGCAGGCGGUUUCUUAAGUCUGAUGUGAAAGCCCCCGGCUCAACCGGGGAGGGUCAUUGGAAACUGGGAGACUUGAGUGCAGAAGAGGAGAGUGGAAUUCCAUGUGUAGCGGUGAAAUGCGUAGAUAUAUGGAGGAACACCAGUGGCGAAGGCGGCUCUCUGGUCUGUAACUGACGCUGAGGCUCGAAAGCGUGGGGAGCAAACAGGAUUAGAUACCCUGGUAGUCCACGCCGUAAACGAUGAGUGCUAAGUGUUGGAGGGUUUCCGCCCUUCAGUGCUGCAGCUAACGCAUUAAGCACUCCGCCUGGGGAGUACGACCGCAAGGUUGAAACUCAAAGGAAUUGACGGGGGCCCGCACAAGCGGUGGAGCAUGUGGUUUAAUUCGAAGCAACGCGAAGAACCUUACCAGGUCUUGACAUCCUUUGACCACUCUAGAGAUAGAGCUUCCCCUUCGGGGGCAAAGUGAC